UACGGAGGGUGCAAGCGUUAAUCGGAAUUACUGGGCGUAAAGCGUGCGUAGGCGGUUCGUUAAGUCUGCUGUGAAAGCCCCGGGCUCAACCUGGGAAUGGCAGUGGAUACUGGCGAGCUAGAGUGUGAUAGAGGAUGGUGGAAUUCCCGGUGUAGCGGUGAAAUGCGUAGAGAUCGGGAGGAACAUCAGUGGCGAAGGCGGCCAUCUGGGACAACACUGACGCUGAAGCACGAAAGCGUGGGGAGCAAACAGG
rnacentral:rRNA from 1 species